rnacentral:lncRNA from 1 species
GGACCCGGUCCUGCCUGGCUGAAUGUCCCCCAUGCUUUAUCUCUUUCCCAGGCCACCUGGAUUUUAAGAGCACUCACCUGACGCCCUCAUGCCCCACCCCUUUCCUGGGUGCCCAGGGAACCCCAGGGUCUCCCUCAGUGCUGCUGGCUCCUUCCUGCACCAGGCACCUGAGACAGAGGCUGCAGUGAGAAGACCCCGUGGUCAGUCACUCUUGCAUUGGAUGGGAAACUCCUCCCUUUGAAUGAAAUGCUAAUUAUAGCCUGCAUGUGUGCAGUCUGUUACCUGCUAAAAAUAUGCUGUCUUAUUCUUGUCUGCACAGGUGCAGCUGAGUUGGGGGAAAUCAUGCUGUUUUUAGCACUGGUAUAAGCAGACAAUUGAAUCCUAGACUUUGGGGACGGGGUCUGCCUGGGAACUUGUUUCCAGGAGUGUGACUGAAGUGAAGGGCCAGUCAGAGGAGGUGCCGCAACCCCGGGGCACAGCAGAGCAGUGCCAAUGUGGGAGGAAGCAUCUUCCAACAGUGGUAUCAGCUUCACAGUGGAGGCAGCCUCAGCUUCCAGGGCUGAGAGACAUUUGUCAUCUUGGCAGGAGGGAGGCUGUUAAAACAGGCACUGGGGGAGCACAAUGGGGCCCCAAAUCCACCCAAGAAAGCCCCAAAACAGGGAUGUUGGAAUGAGAUGAGGAGGAAAGGGUCCUGAAGACAGAGGAGGCAGGUAUGGGGAAGGAUUGAGAGAUGUCACUCAUUCAUUCAUCCAUUCAUUCAUUCUACAAAUAUUUAUUGAGUCCUACCACAUGCCAGGUACUCUGCUAGGUGCUGGGUUGAAAGGGACAGAUAAGGUCGCUGCCCUCAUCUUUAUUACAAUAAUAUUUCUAUACAUAUUGAGCCAGGAACUGCCCAAGGCACUAGAGACACACAUCAAACAAAAACCCCUUCUUGGAGCAAAAAUUCUAAUGGGGGAAGGAGGCUCUGAUGUCCCCUCUCCCAAGAACAAAUGAACACGGAAAUGAUGAUAAGAGUUGGGGACUCCCAUGGGACCCUCCCGUCCCUGUCCCUGGGUCUCCAGUUCAGCCUUCGAGAGUCCAGGAGGUGUCGGCUUUCCCACCUGGCCACAUCUGCUGCUCGGUUUGUCUCACAUGCUGCUCAAAGACUCAAACCAGCAUCCUCAGCCCUGAUGCACCCCCUCACUCUGGGGGGGCACAAUCACAGGAUGCAAGUGAGCCAGAUAUCCAGAAAGGUGAAGACCUCCUGGAUCUAGACAAGAGAAUCCAAUUGGCUGAGCCAAAUUUGCACACAACACCUGCAUGGGAGGCAGGUUCUCUGGGUUCAAAUCCCAGCCCACUGCCUACCACUUACUAGCUGUGUGACCUUGGGCAGGUUAUUUAAACCUCUCUGUGCCUGAGUCUCCUCCUCUAUAAACUGAGGAUAAUGAUAGUUCCUGUUACAUAGGAUUAUCAGACAAGUUAAGGCAGAAAAUACCAGUAAAGUGCUCAGUACACCAUCUGCCCAUGGGAUGCAAGGGUUUAAAAUGUUAGGCAUCAUCACCCUCAUUACGGUUGCGUUGAAUUUUAUAUUGAUUAUUGGCUUUAUAUUGAUUACUUCUGAUUAUUAUUGAUUGGUUUUAUAUUGAGUAUUAUAUGGCAUCUGAUAACAUUCUCAUGACCUUCCUUCCUGGCUCCACAGUGUCAUGUGUUUUUUAUGCUGGGAUCAAUUCCAUUCCCUGGAUUUGACAUUUCCCUGCAGAAACGCAGGCUGGGAAGGGAGCUCUGAGGUCAUCCCCCAUCUUUAUCACAAUCAUCAGCCACAGAUGUCCCUGAGUCCAGGGCAGGUGCUGGCCCAUCAUCCCGCAGGUGGUUCCACUCUAUACUCUACAGAACAUGUGCUUCCCAUUCCAUCUUCCAGCAUCUGCUGACCCUGAAUGGCUCCCCAGCCUUGCCCUGGCCUCCCGUCCUGGUCAUGAGCAGCCCCUUCCCCACACAGCAGUUAGAAGGAUCCUUCUCAUGCUGAAUCAGCCCUGGGCAGCUCUCUGACCACAACCUUCC